ACAUGCAUUUCCCUCAGGUUUCCUGAUCCUUCCCUGGGUCGACAGGGUUCUGGAAACUUCUCUAGGGCCCAGGGCUAGGGCUUCCUUAAGGACCUCAUGGCCCUGCCUCCUCCUUGGUCUCUCACGGGAUGUUUCCUUCCCGCAGGUGAGAGAGGAGGGAGCUAUGCUCAGGCUGCCAGCAGUGACAGCUCCCAGGGCUCUGAUGUGUCUCUCUCGGCUUCUAGAGCGUGAGGCCGCUGCCUUGUGGGGACCGAGUGAUGGAAGAUAUGUUCACGCUUCCAAUUCCCGACUCAAGAACCUCUGAUUGGGGGGCUGGCCCAGCCCUGCACCCCACACUUUCCUGUCAGCAAAGGCGGGCUGUCCCCUCCCCAUCCCUGCCUUUACUCCCUGGGGCUGUGAGCUGCAACUUCCUGCUCCGUAUUGAAAUGAGACUGAGGAUUGACCUGGUGGUUUUUUUGUGUUUUUUUUUUUUAAUACUUUUAUUGAUUUCAGAGAGGAAGGGAGAGGGAGAGAGAGAUAG